rnacentral:rRNA from 1 species
UACGAAGGGGACUAGCGUUGUUCGGAAUUACUGGGCGUAAAGCGCACGUAGUCGGCUUUGCAAGUCGGGGUGUGAAAUCCCCGGGCUCAACCUGGGAACUGCAUCCGAGACUGCAUUGCUAGAGUAUGGGAGAGGGAAGCGGAAUUUCUGGUGUAGCAGUGAAAUGCGUAGAUAUCAGAAGGAACAUCAGUGGCGAAAGGCAGCCCCCCUGGGGAUAACACU